rnacentral:rRNA from 2 species
UUUGAUCUGGCUCAGGACGAACGCUGGCGGCGUGCCUAAUACAUGCAAGUCGAACGAACUCUGGUAUUGAUUGGUGCUUGCAUCAUGAUUUACAUUUGAGUGAGUGGCGAACUCGUGAGUAACACGUGGGAAACCUGCCCCAGAAGCGGGGAUAACACCUGGAAACAGAUGCUAAUACCGCAUAACAACUUGGACCGCAUGGUCCGAGUUUGAAAGAUGGCUUCGGCUAUCACUUUUGGAUGGUCCCGCGGCGUAUUAGCUAGAUGGUGGGGUAACGGCUCACCAUCGCAAUGAUACGUAGCCGACCUGAGAGGGUAAUCGGCCACAUUGGGACUGAGACACGGCCCAAAUCUCUA